GGUCUGAGAGGAUGAUCCGCCACACUGGGACUGAGACACGGCCAGACUCCUACGGGAGGCAGCAGUGGGGAAUAUUGGACAAUGGGCGCAAGCCUGAUCCAGCCAUGCCGCGUGUGUGAAGAAGGCCUUAUGGUUGUAAAGCACUUUAAGCGAGGAGGAGGCUACUUUAGUUAAUACCUAGAGAUAGUGGACGUUACUCGCAGAAUAAGCACCGGCUAACUCUGUGCCAGCAGCCGCGGUAAUACAGAGGGUGCAAGCGUUAAUCGGAUUUACUGGGCGUAAAGCGCGCGUAGGCGGCUAAUUAAGUCAAAUGUGAAAUCCCCGAGCUUAACUUGGGAAUUGCAUUCGAUACUG
rnacentral:rRNA from 1 species